UAAAACCGAAAUAACCCGAACCAACCCAUAUAAGAAUUUUUUUCUUAAAAAAUAAUUGUAGAAUGAAACCCUAAAUCUAAACUCAGCCGCUCAAAUCUCUUUCUUCUAUCCCUUAGACUCACACACCUCUCUCUCUCUCGCUUUUCCUAAAUCGUGACGACGUCCUUCUCCGGUGAACGACGUCCUUCUCCUCUCUUCGUCAUCUGUGGUGGUUGUUGGUGGAGUAGCUUUUCUAGCAGCAACAUUCGGCUUUGGUUCGCGACAAGCCACAAGUCUUCUAUAGCAUGAGGCAUUACUUUGCUAGAAAAUUGGCUGAAGAAUUUUAGAGUCUUGGGGAAAUAAUUUACAACAGAAUUGUUAGUUUCU